rnacentral:rRNA from 1 species
UGGCGAACGGGUGAGUAAUACAUCGGAACGUGUCCGCUCGUGGGGGGACAACCAGCCGAAAGGUUGGCUAAUACCGCAUGAGUUCUACGGAAGAAAGAGGGGGACCCGCAAGGGCCUCUCGCGAGCGGAGCGGCCGAUGACUGAUUAGCCGGUUGGUGAGGUAACGGCUCACCAAAGCAACGAUCAGUAGCUGGUCUGAGAGGACGACCAGCCACACUGGGACUGAGACACGGCCCAGACUCCUACGGGAGGCAGCAG